rnacentral:rRNA from 1 species
GACAGAGGAUGCAAGCGUUAUCCGGAAUGAUUGGGCGUAAAGCGUCUGUAGGUGGCUUUUUAAGUCCGCCGUCAAAUCCCAGGGCUCAACCCUGGACAGGCGGUGGAAACUACCAAGCUGGAGUACGGUAGGGGCAGAGGGAAUUUCCGGUGGAGCGGUGAAAUGCGCAGAUAUCGGGAGGAACACCAGUGGCGAAGGCGGCACUCUGGGCCGUGACUGACGCUGAGGAGCGAAAGCGUGGGUAGCAAACAGG